rnacentral:rRNA from 1 species
GACGAAGGGGGCUAGCGUUGUUCGGAAUUACUGGGCGUAAAGCGCGCGUAGGCGGUUAUCUAAGUCGGAUGUGAAAGCCCUCGGCUUAACUGAGGAAGUGCACCCGAAACUGGAUAGCUAGAGUACGAAAGAGGGUCGCGGAAUUCCCGGUGUAGAGGUGAAAUUCGUAGAUAUCGGGAGGAACACCGGUGGCGAAGGCGGCGACCUGGGUCGAGACUGACGCUGAUGCGCGAAAGCGUGGGGAGCAAACAGG